rnacentral:tRNA from 1 species
CUAAGGAUGGUUCUUCAGAAGCUUGCUUCUAUCGAACCGUUUUAGAAACAUCAGUGGCCAACGGUCGUCAGGAUCGUUGAGCUGCAUUGGCGGGAUUUCGCCGUCUUCGUUUCUCUUUCUUCGCGGACGAACACGCGCUGGGGCUGCAACCUUGCAGAAUCCCUGGUCCUUGACUGGAUAUGCGUUAGGGGCUUGUAGCUCAGUUGGUUAGAGCGCGCGCUUGAUAAGCGUGAGGUCGGAAGUUCAAGUCUUCCCAGGCCCACCACACUCAUCGAGUGAGCAUUCGUCUUCUGGUUACGGGGCCAUAGCUCAGCUGGGAGAGCGCGUGCUUUGCAAGCAUGAGGUCGUCGGUUCGAUCCCGUCUGGCUCCACCAGAUGGUUUGAUCACCGGCUGCUCAUACCGUCGUCCGCGAAACAUCACUUCGCACUUACUAGUCCGGAUGGACAGUAAGCUGCGUGAUUUCUGACAUCGUAAAGAGGAGAUCGAUCCGAGUUGGAUCGGGCAACAAGUAAUUGUUGCGCGAUACUUCAUUAUCUCCGGAUCAUUUCGGCGCUCGUGCGUCUUCCAUUGUAGCUCACAAGGCUGCUUUGAAAGACAAGCGAGUUGUAAAUGAUCCUUUUAGCGAAGCUUGACCGCCUCGCUAUCGGAACGAUCUUACGAAGCAAGCUGGUCUUUCUAAUCAUUGUCCGGCUGCAGAGAGCGUUCAUCGAGGGCGCGUGCCGCAAGGUAGUUCUGCAGACAACAUUCUGCCGAGUGUGUGGACAUUGAUAAUGAGAGC